CCUACGGGAGGCAGCAGUGGGGAAUAUUGCACAAUGGGCGAAAGCCUGAUGCAGCAACGCCGCGUGAGGGAUGAAGGCCUUCGGGUCGUAAACCUCUGUCCUUGGGGAAGAAACAAAUGACGGUACCCAUGGAGGAAGCCCCGGCUAACUACGUGCCAGCAGCCGCGGUAAUACGUAGGGGGCGAGCGUUAUCCGGAAUUAUUGGGCGUAAAGAGUGCGUAGGUGGUUACCUAAGCGCAGGGUCUAAGGCAAUGGCUCAACCAUUGUUCGCCCUGCGAACUGGGCUACUUGAGUGCAGGAGAGGAAAGCGGAAUUCCUAGUGUAGCGGUGAAAUGCGUAGAUAUUAGGAGGAACACCAGUGGCGAAGGCGGCUUUCUGGACUGUUACUGACACUGAGGCACGAAAGCGUGGGGAGCAAACAGGA
rnacentral:rRNA from 1 species